rnacentral:rRNA from 1 species
AUGGCGGAGGCAGCAAGGGGAGGGCCGACGCCUCCUCAUGAUGGCAUCCCGGAUGAGAUCCUCAUCUGGGACAUCCUCGUCCGCCUGCCCCCCAAAUCGCUCCUCCGCUGCCGCGCCGUCUGCCGCGCCUGGCGCACAGCCACCUCCGCCCGCGACUUCCUCAUCGCCAACCACGCCCGCCAGCCCACCCGCCCCUUCCUCUACGUCUGCAACCUUCCCCGCUACGGCUACUACAAGGUCGGCGGCGACAUAGACAUCAUCCCCUUCGACCACCGGGCCGCCGCCGACAAGCUCCAGCCCGUCGCGCGACUUGGCCGAGCCUCCGAAUUCAAAGAUCUGGUGGCCUCCUUUGACGGCCUCGUUGUCUUCGACUGGUGGCGCCGCAAGUUCUUGGGCAUCUGCAACCCAGCGACCCGUCAGUAUGCCCGCCUCAGGGUGCCUAUGGACUCCACGUUCUUGGGGAUGUACCGUCACCCCCCAACCGGCGAAUACAGGGUACUGAUGUACCGGUGUCCGGCAGCUGGGAGGGAAGCUGGCUGCUAUGUUUUAUCGUUGGGCUCCGGCCAACCGCCGAGAAGAAUCGUCAGGCCGGGGGAAGCGCAUAAAGAAGUCAUAUUCGGCACCAAGUAUGUGCUACUCCGUGGCGGGCUGCAUUGGCACCGGGUGCAGCAGCACGAGGGCGAAAGCAACAUGCUAAUCGUGUUUGACACCACGGCUGAGUCGUUCCGACAGAUGCGCGUCCCGAUUAGGCCACAUCUCCUCGCCCUCCUCGACAUCUCCGGCCAAGGCGCUCACUUCUCCGGCCCUCCUCCACAUCUCCUCGCCUCCACCCCAUCCACUUCCUGUCGAAGACUGCGGCAACGGAGCUCGGCGGCUGCGGCCCUUCUCCAAGACUGCAGCAUGGUGCUCGGCGGCUGCGGCAACGGAGCUGAUGGAGCGCGAGCCGACCAGUUCAACGGAGGCAGUAGCACGGGGCAGCGGCAGCAGCAUGGAGGGCGUCCGCUUGACUGGAAAGAUUUAGGAGAGGUCCCUGGUAAAUGGCUCGGCAAAUGCAUAUAUCAUACGGGGUUAAGAAAAAAGAAUGUAUUUGUUGAUAGUGAGAGUGAGGAUAAUGAUGGGGUGAGUGAGGAUGGGGAAGAUGCUCCAUCCAUGCAUGAUCAGCAAGAGGCGCAAAUGCAAGUGGAAAAAGAGACACAAAUUCAAGUAGAAAAGGACGCACCUCCAAGAGAUGGCAAUUUGGAGACCCGUAGAUCUGUACGGCUUGUCAAGAAGAAGACCAAGGGCGUCAACAGCCUAUCCCCUGUUGCUUAG